GAUGAACGCUGGCGGCGUGCCUAAUACAUGCAAGUCGAACGAAGAUCUAGCUUGCUAGAUCUUAGUGGCGAACGGGUGAGUAAUACAUAAAUAAUCUGCCCAUAUGACUGGGAUAACUAUUGGAAACGAUAGCUAAUCACGGAUAGGUUGAUUGGAGGCAUCUCUGAUUAAUUAAAGUAGGAUUUCUACACAAAUGGAUGAGUUUAUGGGGCAUUAGUUAGUUGGUGGGGUAACGGCCUACCAAGACGAUGAUGCGUAGCCGACCUGAGAGGGUGACCGGCCACACUGGGACUGAGACACGGCCCAGACUCCUACGGGAGGCAGCAGUAGGGAAUUUUCGGCAAUGGGCGCAAGCCUGACCGAGCAACGCCGCGUGAGUGAUUAAGGCCUUCGGGUUGUAAAGCUCUGUUGUAAGGGAAGAACAUUCAGGAUAGGAAAUGAUCUUGAACUGACGGUACCUUACCAGAAAGCCACGGCUAACUACGUGCCAGCAGCCGCCGUAA
rnacentral:rRNA from 1 species